rnacentral:tRNA from 1 species
GGUUGUAUAGUGUAGUGGUUAUCACCCGAGAUUCUGACGAGUAGUUAGAGUUCUCGUGACCCCGGUUCGAUCCCGGGUACGACCU